rnacentral:misc_RNA from 1 species
GAAAUUUGCAGCAGCUGCUCGGGCUGCAAAAGAAGCAGAGGAAUCAAGACCAGAUGUGUUUAGUCUUAUCAAUACUCAGCUUGCAGUGCAUGAAGAAACCAUGAACAACAGCUCAGGAAAUAGGCGGCCAAGUAAGGCAAAAGGGGGAGAGAAGAAAGAAGACAGGAGGGCUCUGGUUGCAUAUGAUGAUGAGAUAAAAGGGUUGAAGAUACAGGCUCAGAAACUGGAAGAAAUGGUGCAGCGAAACAGGAACGAGAAGCCGGUUUAUGACGCUGCUAUGAGGAAGCUAAAUGAAACACGUAAAGCUAUAGCCACUGCUGAAGCUGCUCAUGCAUCUGCAUCAAAUGCAGUUCACAGCAAGGAAAAGGAAAAGAGAUGGCUGAAAUUCUAGAGUAGCUCAUAACUUAUUUUGUAUAACCUGAAUGAUUUUGAGGUCUUUCAGUUCAGUAUGAUGCUUCUGG